GAUGAAGAACGCAGUGAAAUGCGAUAAGUAAUGUGAAUUGCAGAAUUCAGUGAAUCAUCGAAUCUUUGAACGCACAUUGCGCCCAUUAGUAUUCUAGUGGGCAUGCCUGUUCGAGCGUCAUUUCAACCCUUAAGCCUAGCUUAGUGUUGGGAGCCUACUGCUUUUACUAGCUGUAGCUCCUGAAAUACAACGGCGGAUCUGCGAUAUCCUCUGAGCGUAGUAAUUUUUAUCUCGCUUUUGACUGGAGUUGCAGCGUCUUUAGCCGCUAAAUCCCCCAAUUUUUAAUGGUUGACCUCGGAUCAGGUAGGAAUACCCGCUGAACUUAAGCAUAUCAAUAAGCGGAGGA
rnacentral:misc_RNA from 1 species